GUGAACGCUGGCGGUAGGCCUAACACAUGCAAGUCGAACGGCAGCACAGUAAGAGCUUGCUCUUACGGGUGGCGAGUGGCGGACGGGUGAGGAAUACAUCGGAAUCUACUUUUUCGUGGGGGAUAACGUAGGGAAACUUACUCUAAUACCGCAUACGACCUACGGGUGAAAGCAGGGGAUCUUCGGACCUUGCGCGAUUGAAUGAGCCGAUGUCGGAUUAGCUAGUUGGCGGGGUAAAGGCCCACCAAGGCGACGAUCCGUAGCUGGUCUGAGAGGAUGAUCAGCCACACUGGAACUGAGACACGGUCCAGACUCCUACGGGAGGCAGCAGUGGGGAAUAUUGGACAAUGGGCGCAAGCCUGACCCAGCCAUACCGCGUGGGUGAAGAAGGCCUUCGGGUUGUAAAGCCCUUUUGUUGGGAAAGAAAAGCAGCAGGUUAAUACCCCGCUGUUCUGACGGUACCCAAAGAAUAAGCACCGGCUAACUUCGUG
rnacentral:rRNA from 1 species